AAUUUUCUGACCUCGAAUCAGGUGGGACUACCCGCUGAACUUAAGCAUAUCAAUAAGCGGAGGAAAAGAAACUAACAAGGAUUCCCUUAGUAACUGCGAGUGAAGUGGGAUGAGCUCAAAUUUAAAAUCUGGUAGUCUCUGGCUGCCCGAGUUGUAAUCUAGAGAAGUGUUUUCUGU
rnacentral:rRNA from 1 species